AGUGAACGCUGGCGGUAGGCCUAACACAUGCAAGUCGAACGGCAGCACAGUAAGAGCUUGCUCUUACGGGUGGCGAGUGGCGGACGGGUGAGGAAUACAUCGGAAUCUACUUUUUCGUGGGGGAUAACGUAGGGAAACUUACGCUAAUACCGCAUACGACCUACGGGUGAAAGCAGGGGAUCUUCGGACCUUGCGCGAUUGAAUGAGCCGAUGUCGGAUUAGCUAGUUGGCGGGGUAAAGGCCCACCAAGGCGACGAUCCGUAGCUGGUCUGAGAGGAUGAUCAGCCACACUGGAGCUGAGACACGGUCCAGACUCCUACGGGAGGCAGCAGUGGGGAAUAUUGGACAAUGGGCGCAAGCCUGAUCCAGCCAUAUCGCGUGGGUGAAGAAGGCCUUCGGGUUGUAAAGCCCUUUUGUUGGGAAAGAAAAGCAGCAGGUUAAUACCCCGCUGUUCUGACGGUACCCAAAGAAUAAGCACCGGCUAACUUCGUG
rnacentral:rRNA from 1 species